ACCCUGUCGAUCGGGACACCCUCGGGAAACUGAGGCUAAUCCCGGAUACGGCUCGCUGCCUGGAGGUGGCGCGAGCCCGAAACGUUCAGGCGCGACAGGAUGUGGCUGCGGCCGAUUAGGUAGACGGUGGGGUAACGGCCCACCGUGCCGAUAAUCGGUACGGGUUGUGAAAGCAAGAGCCCGGAGACGGAAUCUGAGACAAGAUUCCGGGCCCUACGGGGCGCAGCAGGCGCGAAACCUUUACACUGCACGCGAGUGCGAUAGGGGGACUCCAAGUGCGAGGGCAUACAGUCCUCGCUUUUCACCACCGUAAGGAGGUGGUAGAAUAAGUGCUGGGCAAGACCGGUGCCAGCCGCCGCGGUAAUACCGGCAGCACGAGUGAUGACCGCUAUUAUUGGGCCUAAAGCGUCCGUAGCCGGCCGGGCAAGUCCAUCGGGAAAUCCGCACGCCUAACGUGCGGGCGUCCGGUGGAAACUGUUCGGCUUGGGACCGGAAGAUCCAGAGGGUACGUCUGGGGUAGGAGUGAAAUCCUGUAAUCCUGGACGGACCACCGGUGGCGAAAGCGCUCUGGAAGGACGGAUCCGACGGUGAGGGACGAAAGCUUGGGUCACGAACCGGAUUAGAUACCCGGGUAGUCCAAGCUGUAAACGAUGUCUGCUAGGUGUGGCACAGGCU
rnacentral:rRNA from 1 species